rnacentral:misc_RNA from 1 species
GCAGUGGAGGCGGUCCCAUACUUGUUCAACCUUAAGGGUUCUGAGGACCCAAAUACUGAAUUUAAACUUUGGGAGCAUGGGGGACCAAUAACAUCUCUUGCAUUGGACCUCAUGAGGAUUUACAGUGGCUCUUGGGACAUGACUGUUCGUGUAUGGGAUCGUUCUUCUCUGAAGUGCUUAAAGGUCUUGAGACAUAGUGACUGGGUAUGG